CACGCCCAGACCGAGUAGGAAACGAAAGCAGUGGCAAAAAGUAAAUAAGGAACACUUGACCUUCCUUUAUUGGUAAAUUUACACGCCGACAGCGAUUGACGGACGCUGCUUGCAUGGCAAGGACGGCGCAGCCUUGUUUCAUGUCAAUCGCUUAUGUACAUAGCGGCGCAAAAUAUUGUAUGCGGAGUGUUUAAUUUUAUGACAAGUGAA
rnacentral:ncRNA from 1 species